AUUUAAUAACAAUUAAAUAAAUAAAUGGAAUAUGAAGAGUGGAAGGGUAAAAGUGGAAUUGGGAUAAAAAGAGGCCAAAGUGAGAACUUAGGGUGUUUUCACGUAUUGUUGCCUCAGAGUCAGAAAAAGGGAGAAACGCUGAAGAGAAAGAGAAGGAAGAGGGAAAGGCCAAAGAUUGCUCAGAGCUUCCUUCAAUCCAAAGAGGUAAGGGGUCUGAAC
rnacentral:lncRNA from 1 species